GUGCCAGCCGCCGCGGUAAUACCGGCAGCCCGAGUGAUGGCCGAUAUUAUUGGGCCUAAAGCGUCCGUAGCCGGCCGGACAAGUCCGUUGGGAAAUCCACGCGCCUAACGCGUGGGCGUCCAGCGGAAACUGUCCGGCUUGGGGCCGGAAGACCCGAGGGGUACGUCCGGGGUAGGAGUGAAAUCCCGUAAUCCUGGACGGACCGCCGGUGGCGAAAGCACUUCGAGAAAACGGAUCCGACAGUGAGGGACGAAAGCCAGGGUCUCCAACCGGAUUAGAUACCCGAGUAGUCC
rnacentral:rRNA from 1 species